rnacentral:rRNA from 1 species
CAGUCGCCACGGGAAUGCGAAGGGGGCUAGCGUUGUUCGGAUUUACUGGGCGUAAAGCGCACGUAGGCGGAUCCUUAAGCCAGAGGUGAAAUCCCAAGGCUCAACCUUGGAACUGCCUUUGAUACUGUCGAUCUGGAGUAUGGAAGAGGUGAGUGGAAUUCCGAGUGUAGAGGUGAAAUUCGUAGAUAUUCGGAGGAACACCAGUGGCGAAGGCGGCUCACUGGUCCAUUACUGACGCUGAGGUGCGAAAGCGUGGGGAGCGAACAGGAUUAGAUACCCGCGUAGUCCCUGUCUCUUAUAA